UGAGUACCCUGAUUAGUCAAGGUUAUAUAAGCGAAUAGCGAAGCCAACAGGCAGCAUUCCAUUAGAAGCCUCACAGUAGGCACAAAAGAUAAGAACUGAACAUGAGAAUUCAUGAACAGGCUACUUAUUUUAUUACAGGGGCAAAAUAGUAAUUAUACAUUAUCAUCGAUGCAAUCGUUACAAUAAUUCUCACCUCUCUUGUAGACAGGGGGGACGGUCUACAAGGAGUGAAGGCACAACUUGGAUCUCCGUAGGCCUACGGUAGCCAACUGGGCCCAGCCCCAGCUGGUGGCCAACUAGUCACUCCCCCCUAAAGAGCCUUAGGAACAACUUGGCUUGUGGCAGGAGGAGACAUCAACAUGUCUCAUAUGACACCCCCCUAAAAUAAAUACAUGAAAAGGAAUUACAACAAAUUGUCUCGGCCAUUAUCUUCAUACUAAUUUCUACUAUUUUCUCCCAAUAUUGCUUUCUAGGAAUUCCAAUGUUGGAAAAUUACAGUUUUGAUCCCUGAAAACUCUAUGACCCUGACACUCCCCCACUUAAACGGUCGAUGUCCUCGUCGACUGAGUUUGUUGGGGUUCUUCAAUCUUUGAGUCCGACAUUCUUAGGCUUGCAGUGUGAUUUGAUCCUAGUCCUGCUCAAUUAAAUUGUUGGACAGCAUAGUUCUUAAUGAUGAUGAGACUACAAAAGCUCUAUCUUCUGGUGGUAAAUGUUCUGCCCUUGAUUCCUUAGACUACUGCAAAUGGUGCUAGAAAUUAUUGCUUUACUCCUCUGCACGAACUUAUUGCCUGAAGUCAUUGAUCACUGGUUCUUUUCUCCUUAACUUGUCUCGCCAUUACUUGUCUUUAAUUGUCGACCUUACUCUUUGCCUCAAAGCACGACCCCAUGGUGCAACAAAUCUAUCAACCUGCAUACACUCAUGCCAUAUGAUAUUAUGAUUAACCUGUAAUAAUCUCAUAAGAAAGGUUAGUAUUAACCACGUUAGAAUCAAAUACGAUCUAAUAUAGCAAGUCAUCUAGAAUACAAUCCAUUAUAAAUUAAUAGAUAUGACAACAGCACUUGUCCACUAAAACUUGAACUGCCUUUACCCAUCUGCUUGACAUAACACAACGUUAUUCCACCUGUAGCGAAGCUCGGCAAAUCCUCCUAAGGAACUGGUGUCCCUAUUGUCAAAAGAGUUCGCUCAAUACUCUCUUUCUCCUUUUUUUUUUACGUCUUAUGUUCCUCCCCUUCAUAAGCUCUGGUAUUAUGUACACUUUAUCUCCUUUUCCUUUCCCCCAGAAUGUAGUCUAUGCAAAUGCCUACAAAACGUCUCCCAUUACACACACAAAAUAUCCACGAUCACUGAAAAGGGGCAUUUUCUUGUUGAACCCUAUGAGCAACAGAAAUCUACUCAAAACAACUAUUAAGAUUGACUAUACAUGAACCAAUUAAUACCAUCUUCAUGACUUGACACUAAGAAAUUACUAGAAGAUACUCCCUUUCUUAUACUGCUUUCAUCAUAGCUCACAACAUCGAUUCGCCUCACCAACUUGCCUCAAGCAACCUGUGCUUCUCGACCCAUCUCGGUCCUCCCCCACAUUGAUGCACUUGGGAGAACUUUUAUUUGGCCAUGAGGUCUCUUUCCUGCUCGACAACAAAGGUAGGACUAAAUUUUUCCUUUUUUAAUUACACAUUAUUAUCCAAUCCCUUUUAAGGCAGCUACAUCCUAUAUGUUCACAAUAUUUGUUAGCACCAACUUGUCAAGUCCCACAUCACGAGGAACCUGACUCAAUAAUCCACAAAAUAUUUCAAAAUAAAUGAAUAACUAUAUAAAGUAAGGUAAGGAAUGAUAUCAGGAAACACAAAAACAUUAUACUCAUCUGAUGUGAGAGGGUUCCCUCUCGUUAAAUUCCUUUCUCUCGUACUGAAUGAUCAUUAAGGAUCUCCAUCUCUCAUCAUUAUCUUGAGUACCAUACUCCUUUGACCAGUUCAAUGGUCCUCACUUCUGUCAGUUUUCGCUUAUCCUCCUUCUUCCUUUUGUCGUAGGAUGAGUGAAUUAUUUGCUUUCACAACGUUGUUGCUCCCAACGGUAUUUGUUGCCACUCUUUGCCCAACGUUACCAUACAUUCCUAUGGGUUGUCCUAUCAAAAUAUUUACUUACCUCAAAGAGAAUGAAUAUGUGCUCAACAAUCAUAGUUGGUUGGCACUUCUCAGACAUUAUCCCAUACUCUGGUACUUGUUGUUUUCUUUUCAUCCCCUCUGGACUCCCAUCUAUUCCUCUUUUUCGACUCAUUUUCAUCCUCGCAAAACUUAGUCUUGGUUUCUUUUUUCUUUUGUUUUUUUUUUAGGGUACGCCCUUCCUAUUUGGUGCUCUUUUUAUACUCUUGUAAAGGAUAUGUUUUUGAGAGACGAGGCAACUACCACCUUUGAUCUAUCACCAUCUUAUCCAUACCAGUGUUUCAUAUGAGUUUUCCAAGAACUUUUCUUCUGCACUAACAACGCUGCACCACAUAGCAAGAGUUAUAGGAGCACUAGCUUGCUCCCUGGUUAUGCACCAGGAUCAAGUAAUUUAUAGAAGAAUAUCAUAACAGUUGAUAACCACAGUACUCAUUUCUCACAACUUACUCCAUUUAUUUUUUUUCCCACUUACGCACGGCUAGACAAUACUUCAUCGAAUGCUACUUUUCGUUGAGUUUACCCUUGCACCACUUCAUGCUUGGAUAGCCACUAGUUUCCUCUUCACUACUCUCGACUACCUCUCCUUUAUCAAGGAAUAAUUGUUGGUCGAAAUAGAGAUAAUUUGUGUCAUUCUGGGAGACGCCACAUCAAUUAACGUCCCAAGUUCACUAAAAAAAAAAGAAAUUGUGAAGUCCAUCUUGCUUUUUGAUGUCCUCGAUUAAGCGAGUUUGUCAAAGGACAUGCUCAACUUAAUCCCCGCACUCAAGUUGUCUGCUUAGUCUUUAUUUCCUCAUAUCAUCCACUUCAGUUUUAUUUGUGAUCCUCACAAUUGGGUAAACAGUGUACGAAUCUUGUAUCUGUGCCCGCUUUGUAGCAUCAACUCCGCUAUACUUGACACUGGGCAACAAUAUGUUGUUUUAUAAUAGCUUCGAUUCUCAUUUCUUCUCUUAGAGUCCUCAAGAAGACUUUAAAGAUCUUCUCCUCCAUCCCAUGUCCCUUAUUUAACACAACACUCACAGAAUAUUUCCAUCAUGCUUGAUCCCUUCACGCGAACAAUACUACCUUAGGCGGGGAGGAACAAGAAAGUACAAACAACCUAGAGUUGACAACUCUAUGAUUUAUACCGAAUGUUCCCUCCCCCUUUACUCACCAUGUCCCUCAAGACCUUCGACACAUUUCCUCACCAGCAACUUGUAAAAUCAUAUGGCUUUCUUCAUGGAGAACACUUCAUACUGCUUAGUUAUGCCACUUCCAUGUGCUCUUGUUUACCACCUUUCAGACCACUCCCCCACUUAUUACUUUGGCCCAUCUUCUUAGGCGGCUAUCAAUCAGAUAUUAGAGUUGAAUAUUCCUUCAAUUCCUUGGUAAUAGAACCAACUCAAUAUUGGGAAAUGCAUUCCUUUACUCUACACCAUAAUCCUCCAGGUUCCGACCUUCUUCAGAAAGGUUUUAAGCUCAGUCAUAUCUCUUGAAUUGUUGUCACAAUCCGCUUACUCUAUUAAAAUCAAGUGCCACGUCCUCUUGUGUCAUCCAUAGAUGCUGAAAAGUUCCUUUAUGUACUUUCCUUAUGAACACCUUGUUGGAGUUUACCAACUCUCUUGAAUAACAAAUGUUACAUUCUUGUAGUAAAACUGGAGCUUAUCAUUUCAUAUCCUCCCUUUUCUCAUGUAUAGAGUGAACACUCUCUAUUCAUGGGACUUUACCCUUUCAUUUUUAGAAUAGAUUUAGCUUUAUAGCUUGAUCCCAUAAACGUUGUUCUUUAUAUGUCUGCACAGUCACCAAUCCCAAUAAUAUUAAUGCAUAAGUUCAUGUUGAAGAGAAAAUUAUUUACCUCCAUCCCACAACAAGGAUUGAAGUUCUGGGAUUCCACCCGUGCCUACUUCAUUGGCAUUAGCUCGUGAUUCACGCCAUUGAUAAUUGUUCCUCUGGUUCACUUCUGAAGUAUUGCUCAUAGUCUUUUCUAUGUCAUAUUUAAUAUUAUUGCACCAUUCCUGCAAGUAAAACAAAAUACAUGAGAGGCUUUUGCCUCAAUUCUGUCUCGGGAGGCCUCUUGCCUCAAUUCUAUCUUCGGAGGCCUCUUGCCUCAAUUAUGUCUCAGGAGGCCUCUUGCCUCAAUUUUGUCUCAUGAGGCCUCUUGCAUCAAUUUUGAGUGGAAUGGUCUCAGGAUUCUCGAAUGGCCUCAAGCUCUAUUGGCUCAUCCUCCCCCUUAUCACUAUACCCUGAGGUCGUUACUCUCUCUCCAAGGGCCACUAAAAGGAAGCAUGUAGCACCUAGUCAUUACCCUCUCUCCAUAAGACAUUUCCAAUGGAGUGUGCAGUACUAGGUCAUUACCUCUCUCCCAAUGGUGUCCCUAGUAGAGCGUGCAACACCUCUAGUUAAUAUGGCCAGUCUAGCCCGAAGGCUCAUGCUUUUGUCUUCUUCGCCUCAUAAUGUGCUACUACUCCUCGUAGCUUCAUAAUUGGGAGGUCACUGCCUCCUCCUUUCACCACUUUAGGCUCAAGAUCACCCCACCGGGUGUCAUUCGCAUGAAGGAGGUUUUGGAAGGCCUCAAUCUCCCGUCAAUUUGGCUAUCAUAGCCAACAACGUUCAUUUUUAUUAUAUAUAUAUAUAUAUAUAUAUAUNNNNNNNNNNNNNNNNNNNNNNNNNNNNNNNNAUAUAUAUAUAUAUAUUUCACUCUAGUGCCUCAAGGCACUUCUAACCAGAAUCAUCUCCAAUGCGUUUCCCUCUUAGGUGGCAUAGACAACCAACCAGGCAGCACGAUUCUCACCCUUCUCUCAAGGGCCUUUGUGCAGGUGCCAAACUUCAUCAUUCCUUUAUCUUGCUCGCAGAUCUUUCUUGCUCUGAUACCAAUUGUCACGGUUUCAGAUUUCAGCAAUUGCCUGGAACCGUGCGGCACUUGACUUGAACACCUUCAAGCCAAGUCAGCCUUAAGAAUCACCCGAUACCCUGUGAACAUGAGUACCCUGAUUAGUCAAGGUUAUAUAAGCGAAUAGCGAAGCCAACAGGCAGCAUUCCAUUAGAAGCCUCACAGUAGGCACAAAAGAUAAGAACUGAACAUGAGAAUUCAUGAACAGGCUACUUAUUUUAUUACAGGGGCAAAAUAGUAAUUAUACAUUAUCAUCGAUGUAAUCGUUACAAUAAUUCUCACCUCCCUUGUAGACAGGGGGGACGGUCUACAAGGAGUGAAGGCACAACUUGGAUCUCCAUAGGCCUACGGUAGCCAACUGGGCCCAGCCCCAGCUGGUGGCCAACUAGUCACUCCCCCCUAAAGAGCCUUAGGAACAACUUGGCUUGUGGCAGGAGGAGACAUCAACAUGUCUCAUAUGACAC
rnacentral:lncRNA from 1 species